ACCGAUUUUUCUUGGUGUUCAGAGUCACAGUUUUUGUCUAGCACCAUUUGAAAUCGGUUA
rnacentral:pre_miRNA from 1 species